rnacentral:rRNA from 1 species
CUACGGGGGGCUGCAGUGAGGAAUUUUGGGCAAUGGGGGCAACCCUGACCCAGCGACGCCGCGUGCAGGAUGACGGCCCUUCGGGUUGUAAACUGCUUUCGGGUAUGAAGAAAAGCCUUAUUAAAGGCUGGGACAGUAGUACCAUAAGAAGCACCGGCUAACUACGUGCCAGCAGCCGCGGUAAUACGUAGGGUGCAAGCGUUAUCCGGAAUUACUGGGUGUAAAGGGUGUGUAGGCGGGCUAGUGCGUCGGAGGUUAAAUCCCUGGGCUUAACUCAGGAGCUGCCUUCGAAACGGCUGGUCUUGAAUGUGAGAGAGGAUGAUGGAAUUCCUGGUGUAGCGGUGAAAUGCGUAGAUAUCAGGAGGAACACCAGUAGCGAAGGCGGUCAUCUGGCUCAUCAUUGACGCUGAGGCACGAAAGCGUGGGUAGCGAUCAGGAUUAGAUACCCGGGUAGUC